rnacentral:rRNA from 1 species
GAUGAACGCUAGCGGCAGGCCUAAUACAUGCAAGUCGAACGGUAACAUGAGUAGCAAUACUUGAUGACGAGUGGCGCACGGGUGCGUAACGCGUAUGCAAUCUACCUUUAACUGGUGAAUAGCCCGAAGAAAUUCGGAUUAAUACACCAUAGUACAUUGAGGAGGCAUCUCCCUAAUAUUAAAACUCCGGUGGUUAAAGAUGAGCAUGCGUGACAUUAGCUAGUUGGUGAGGUAACGGCUCACCAAGGCAACGAUGUCUAGGGGAUCUGAGAGGAUUAACCCCCACACUGGUACUGAGACAGGGACCAGACCCCUACGGGAGGCAGCAGUAAGGAAUAUUGGACAAUGGUCGCAAGACUGAUCCAGCCAUGCCGCGUGAAGGAUGACGGCCCUAUGGGUUGUAAACUUCUUUUGUACGGGAAAAAACCCUUCUCCGUGUAGAGGGCUGAUUGUACCGUAAGAAUAAGGAUCGGCUAACUCCGUGCCAGCCGCCGCCGUAA